CGGCAGUCACAAAGGCAAAGGAACUCCAGGCUACGGCCACAAUUCAGCCUCAACUCUCCCCCAUUGUGCCCAGCCACAGCAAUGGUCUCAGAGCCGUCGGGGGUCUUACAUAUCUCAUACGUGCAGCAAAGUGGGGGAACAAUGUGACAAAUUAUGAACAAGCUAAGAGCUGAGCCUGUGGAAUUCUGCCCUUUGUGAGCCGCCAUCACAUGUCAGCUAGGCUGCUGGGCCAAGGGGGAGACACGGGGGUGGGGGACAUCCCAGCAGCAGGAGACUAGCCCGGUGCUGGAACACUUCACACUUGAGAACACCGCCCCUUCUCGGGCUGCUGGAGUGCCACUCCAUCCCUCUCUCUCUCUCUCUCUCUCUCUCUCUCUCUCUCUCUCUCUCUCUCUCUCUCUCUCCCUCUGCCCCCUCCCUUUCUCUGUCUCUCAGGGAUUGCAAGAGAAAAGAAAAUUAUUCUGACUCUACUAUUUUUUCAUUUAGAUCUAAACAUUCAAUCAAUACUAUUCUUGCUGAAGAAAACAAAAGAUCCAGGCAAACUUUCAGAGUCCAUUCUCCCAAGAGCCAAAGGUGACAAAGCUCCAGUGAUGUGGGUGAUCAUCCUUGUUCCUAACACUUCUUUGUCUUCAAGAGCCCACCUUCUCUCAACCUCCUGGUGCCUCAAUUUCUUCAUCUGCAAGGAAAAAUGACCCUCAAGGAGGAAUUAAGAAGUGAAAGAGACAGCUUGGAAUGAAGAACAAGGCCGGUAAACCAUGCCAACCACUUCGCCUGGGGUUCAACUGAAAGAGUGAUGGUCUCUUCCAUGGCAGGACGAGGAAAACUCAAUGGGAUUGGGCUUUUUUGAGAGCCUGUACACAAAGCAGUGUAUUCUGUACUUUCUGUGGAAUUUAAGGGAAUUUUUCAGGGGCUACUUUUAACUAUAUGACUGAUUUUCCAUCUUAUUACCUCCAAUUUAUAAUAUAAGAAGCUAUCCUUA
rnacentral:lncRNA from 1 species